GAUGAACGCUAGCUACAGCCUUAACACAUGCAAGUCGAGGGGUAACGAGAGGAAAGCUUGCUUUCCUUGUCGACGACCGGCGCACGGGUGAGUAACGCGUAUCCAACCUGCCCCCAACUAGGGAAUAACCUCGCGAAAGUAAGACUAAUACCCUAUAAUUUCCUCAGAUGACAUCUGACGAGGAAUAAAGAUUUAUCGGUUGUGGAUGGGGAUGCGUCUGAUUAGCUUGUUGGCGGGGUAACGGCCCACCAAGGCAACGAUCAGUAGGGGUUCUGAGAGGAAGGUCCCCCACAUUGGAACUGAGACACGGUCCAAACUCCUACGGGAGGCAGAAGUGAGGAAUAUUGGUCAAUGGGCGGAAGCCUGAACCAGCCAAGUAGCGCGCAGGAUGACGGCCCUAUGGGUUGUAAACUGCUUUUAUACAGGAAUAAAGUUAGCCACGUGUGGUUAUUUGUAGGUACUGUAUGAAUAAGGACCGGCUAGUUCCGUGCCAGCAGCCGCCGUAA
rnacentral:rRNA from 1 species